AGUGAACGCUGGCGGUAGGCCUAACACAUGCAAGUCGAACGGCAGCACAGUAAGAGCUUGCUCUUACGGGUGGCGAGUGGCGGACGAGUGAGGAAUACAUCGGAAUCUACUUUUUCGUGGGGGAUAACGUAGGGAAACUUACGCUAAUACCGCAUACGACCUACGGGUGAAAGCAGGGGAUCUUCGGACCUUGCGCGAUUGAAUGAGCCGAUGUCGGAUUAGCUAGUUGGCGGGGUAAAGGCCCACCAAGGCGACGAUCCGUAGCUGGUCUGAGAGGAUGAUCAGCCACACUGGAACUGAGACACGGUCCAGACUCCUACGGGAGGCAGCAGUGGGGAACAUUGGACAAUGGGCGCAAGCCUGAUCCAGCCAUACCGCGUGGGUGAAGAAGGCCUUCGGGUUGUAAAGCCCUUUUGUUGGGAAAGAAAAGCAGCAGGUUAAUACCCCGCUGUUCUGACGGUACCCAAAGAAUAAGCACCGGCUAACUUCGUG
rnacentral:rRNA from 1 species